ACGAUGUGGGAAGGCCCAGACAGCCAGGAUGUUGGCUUAGAAGCAGCCAUCAUUUAAAGAAAGCGUAAUAGCUCACUGGUCGAGUCGGCCUGCGCGGAAGAUGUAACGGGGCUAAACCAUGCACCGAAGCUGCGGCAGCGACGCUGAUGCGUUGUUGGGUAGGGGAGCGUUCUGUAAGCCUGCGAAGGUGUGCUGUGAGGCAUGCUGGAGGUAUCAGAAGUGCGAAUGCUGACAUAAGUAACGAUAAAGCGGGUGAAAAGCCCGCUCGCCGGAAGACCAAGGGUUCCUGUCCAACGUUAAUCGGGGCAGGGUGAGUCGACCCCUAAGGCGAGGCCGAAAGGCGUAGUCGAUGGGAAACAGGUUAAUAUUCCUGUACUUGGUGUUACUGCGAAGGGGGGACGGAGAAGGCUAUGUUGGCCGGGCGACGGUUGUCCCGGUUUAAGCGUGUAGGCUGGUUUUCCAGGCAAAUCCGGAAAAUCAAGGCUGAGGCGUGAUGACGAGGCACUACGGUGCUGAAGCAACAAAUGCCCUGCUUCCAGGAAAAGCCUCUAAGCAUCAGGUAACAUCAAAUCGUACCCCAAACCGACACAGGUGGUCAGGUAGAGAAUACCAAGGCGCUUGAGAGAACUCGGGUGAAGGAACUAGGCAAAAUGGUGCCGUAACUUCGGGAGAAGGCACGCUGAUAUGUAGGUGAAGUCCCUCGCGG
rnacentral:rRNA from 1 species